CCUACGGGGGGCUGCAGUAGGGAAUAUUGGACAAUGGGCGAAAGCCUGAUCCAGCCAUGCCGCGUGAUAGAUGAAGGCCCUCUGGGUUGUAAAUAUCUUUUAUCUGGGAAGAAACAAUCUUAUUCUUAAGAUCUUGACGGUACCAGAGGAAUAAGCACCGGCUAACUCCGUGCCAGCAGCCGCGGUAAUACGGAGGGUGCAAGCUUCAUCCGGAUUCACGGGUGCGUAAGCGGGCUGAGAAGGGCGGGGUGAAAGCUCCGAGCUUAACUUGGAAGCUGCCAUUGAUACUGCCAGUCUUGAAUGUCGUAGAGGUAAGCGGAAUGUUGCAUGUAGCGGUGAAAUGCUUAGAUAUGUUACAGAACACCAAUUGCGAAGGCAGCUUACUAUGCGAUGAUUGACGCUGAGGCACGAAAGCGUGGGGAGCAAACAGGAUUAGAUACCCCAGUAGUC
rnacentral:rRNA from 1 species